CAGUCGCCGCGGUAAUACGAGGGGGGCAAGCGUUGUUCGGAAUUAUUGGGCGUAAAGGGUGCGUAGGCGGUUUGGCAAGUCUUGUGUGAAAUCUUCGGGCUCAACCCGAAGCCUGCACGAGAAACUGCCGGGCUUGAGUAUUGGAGAGGUGAGUGGAAUUUCCGGUGUAGCGGUGAAAUGCGUAGAUAUAGGAAGGAACACCAGUGGCGAAGGCGACCACCUGGACUGAUACUGACACUGAGGUGCGAAAGCGUGGGGAGCAAACAGGAUUAGAUACCCCCGUAGUCCCUGUCUCUUAUAC
rnacentral:rRNA from 1 species